CACGUAGGGGGCAAGCGUUGUCCGGAUUUAUUGGGCGUAAAGAGCUCGUAGGCGGCUCAGUAAGUCAGGUGUGAAACCUCCAGGCUCAACCUGGAGACGCCACCUGAUACUGCUGUGGCUAGAGUCCGGUAGGGGAGCGUGGAAUUCCUGGUGUAGCGGUGAAAUGCGCAGAUAUCAGGAGGAACACCGAUGGCGAAGGCAGGUCUCUGGGCCGAUACUGACGCUGAGGAGCGAAAGCGUGGGGAGCGAACAGG
rnacentral:rRNA from 1 species